GGUGCAUGGUUGUCGUCAGCUCGUGUCGUGAGAUGUUGGGUUAAGUCCCGCAACGAGCGCAACCCUUGUGUUUAGUUGCAAACAGGUCAAGCUGUGCACUCUAGACAGACUGCCGUGGACAACACGGAGGAAGGUGGGGAUGACGUCAAAUCAUCAUGCCCCUUAUGACCUGGGCUACAAACGUGAUACAAUGGCUGGAACAAAGGGAUGCGAAGCAGUGAUGUGGAGCGAAACCCAUAAAAACAGUCUCAGUUCGGAUUGAAGUCUGCAACUCGACUUCAUGAAGUCGGAAUCGCUAGUAAUCGCGGAUCAGAACGCCGCGGUGAAUACGUUCUCGGGGUUU
rnacentral:rRNA from 1 species